rnacentral:rRNA from 2 species
UACGUAGGGUGCAAGCGUUAAUCGGAAUUACUGGGCGUAAAGCGUGCGCAGGCGGUUUUGUAAGUCUGUUGUGAAAUCCCCGGGCUUAACCUGGGAAUGGCAAUGGAGACUGCAAGGCUAGAGUUUGGCAGAGGGGGGUAGAAUUCCACGUGUAGCAGUGAAAUGCGUAGAGAUGUGGAGGAACACCGAUGGCGAAGGCAGCCCCCUGGGUCAAGACUGACGCUCAUGCACGAAAGCGUGGGGAGCAAACAGG